CCUACGGGUGGCAGCAGUGGGGAAUAUUGGGCAAUGGGCGCAAGCCUGACCCAGCAACGCCGCGUGAAGGAAGAAGGCUUUCGGGUUGUAAACUUCUUUUGUCAGGGACGAAGCAAGUGACGGUACCUGACGAAUAAGCCACGGCUAACUACGUGCAAGCAGCCGCGGUAAUACGUAGGUGGCAAGCGUUCUCCGGAUUUACUGGGUGUAAAGGGCGUGUAGGCGGGACUGCAAGUCAGAUGUGAAAACCACGGGCUCAACCUGGGGCCUGCAUUUGAACACGGAGUUCUUGAGUACUGGAGAGGGGGGUGGAAUUCCUAGUGUAGCGGUGAAAUGCGUAGAGAUUAGGAGGAACACCAGUGGCGAAGGCGGUCUGCUGGACAGCAACUGACGCUGAGGCGCGAAAGCGUGGGGAGCAAACAGGAUUAGAUACCCGUGUAGUC
rnacentral:rRNA from 1 species